UACGAGGGGUGCAAGCGUUGCUCGGAAUUAUUGGGCGUAAAGGGUUGGUAGGUGGUCUCAUUUGUCUGGGGUGAAAUCCUUGAGCUUAACUCAAGAACUGCCCCAGAAACGGUGAGACUGGAGUACUGGAGAGGGUCGUGGAAUUCCCGGUGUAGCGGUGAAAUGCGUAGAUAUCUGGAGGAACACCGGUGGCGAAGGCGGCAUCCUGGACCAUUACUGACGCUGAGUGAGCGAAAGCCAGGGGAGCAAACGGG
rnacentral:rRNA from 1 species